ACAAAGUGAGCAUUCAAAGAGAAUUUUACUUUUAAGGCCAGAGUAGCAGACGUAGUGACACAACGUAUCUACUCGCACACCAAAAUACUGAGGCAAUGUCAUUACACACACACUAUAACCACAUAGCAGCACAAAUAUACAGUGUAACCAUACUCACAUAGUCUAACUACUCACUCACCUGUUCAGAUACAGUGUAACCAAGUUCAGACAUUAGCA